UUAGUCUAGGUGGUCAGGAUACUUGGCUUUCACUUCACUGGCAACGGUGUAAGAGCUCCCAAGAGACACGGGUUCGAGUCCCGUAU
rnacentral:tRNA from 1 species